GCCUUCGUGUUGUAACGAUAGCAUAUUCGGCUCGUAUUCGAGAGGUUCAGGAUCGAGUCCCGACGAGGGCA
rnacentral:tRNA from 1 species